GAUGAAGAACGCAGCGAAAUGCGAUAAGUAAUGUGAAUUGCAGAAUUCAGUGAAUCAUCGAAUCUUUGAACGCACCUUGCGCUCUUUGGUAUUCCGAAGAGCAUGCCUGUUUGAGUGUCAUGAAAAUAUCAACCUUGACUUGGGUUUUGUGCUCUAGUCUCGGCUUGGAAUUGGGUGCUUGCCGCUUUUACGAGCGGCUCACCUUAAAUGUAUUAGCUGGAUCUGUCUUUGAGACUUGGUUUGACUUGGCGUAAUAAGUAUUUCGCUAAGGACAUUCUUCGGAGUGGCCUCGUUUCUAGGACGCUUGUCCGCUUUCCAAUACAAGUACCACCUCGUGGACAUGACUUUUUAUUAUCUGGCCUCAAAUCAGGUAGGACUACCCGCUGAACUUAAGCAUAUCAAUAAGCGGAGGA
rnacentral:misc_RNA from 1 species